UCCCCUGCUGCGGUCAGUUCACCUCGCUCCGCUGCGGGGGUAGACCAGGGAUCGCUUUGGGCUCGUUUGUCCCGCCUUGCUUCCUUUGCUGUGUCACCCAGCUCGUGUAAGGCUCUCCCUUUCUGACGGAUCAAAUAGGUUACAUUUGCAAGCAGUGGACUGGCAAUAGUCCAGCUCUUUUGGGCUGAUGCUGAUAUCCGCGAACUGAUGAUUUCUCUGUUUUGCUGUCUUAAACUCUCCAGCUCUCAGUGAUGGAAAGGCAAGUUGUGCUUCUGACCAGGGUCUUUCCUCCAGCAGAACUGGAGUCCUGGAGGCAAAUCACUCCUCAAGAUGGAGAUUUAGGAAACUGCUGAAGGGAGGGGGUGAGUGGGAGAAUAUGUUGGAAGGGGGUGCUUGGGUAAGUACUAGCAGCUGAGUUUUGCCUGGCUUUGGGCUGAGGCUGGAUAUGCAGCCGCACUGGGAGAGAGGAUGGAUGGGUACAUGGUUUAGGCAUGAUGAAGGCACGUUAGGAAGUGCUUAGCUGUGGUGUUUGCUUUGCAGGCUGCUCAGAUGCCUGAGGGUAGAACAGGCUGAGGUAUCAUCCCCAGCAAGGUUUGCACGUUGACCACUGCUGCAUGCAGAUAUUGUAUAAACUUUCCCAAAUUCUGGGCCUUCCUCAGCAGCCACUCCAGCCCCUGCUGCUCCACAAGCCGUGUCAGCCCGUACCUCACUGCGCCCAUCUGCUCUCUGCCAACAGCCUCCCUCCUGGCAUAGAAGAGGGCACAAAUUCCGCUGCUUUUCAGAUCAACCCUGUAACAGUGACAAGUAGAGGGGGAGUCUUACCGUGGCUUAGUGGUGACGGACUCAAAUCAUGAAGAGCUGGAUUUUGAUUCUCCUCAGAGCCAGGAAAUGGAAAUAUCUUCUAUACUAUCAUUCCUUAUGGUGAAAGACCAACCAUCUGAAACCUCUACUAGGGCAAGGAGUCACCAAAGAUGCCCCAGUUUACAAGAGGCAGAGAUCAGCCUUGUUUGUGUUCAUGUGGGAGGAGAAGACACUAACACACAAGCAAAGGAAGAAGCACUGAGGGAAGAGAACCUUUCCAGCAAAUUAAUCACUUGGAAAGACAAGACAGAGUGUGAAUUGCAUUGCAGUUAUCUUACAGACUCGGAGACUUCAAGGCAAGCAGCCAGAAUCAAUAAGGCAAAGCUGCCAGUACAACUGCCUCUACGAAGGCCUCAGUUGCCUCCCAGGAGGGGUGGCGAUGAGGGAGCAGGAGCUGAAGGGACCACUGCUGGGCUGGCAGCAAGCUCUGCAUGAGACUCCAAGCCUCUGCAUGGCUCCCCUGGCUCCCUUGUCUGUGGCUGCAAGACUCUGGGGGCAAAUUGGGAUGACUCCCAGCCUCCUGCAGCUGCUGGUAAGGGAGCCAGAGGAGCCGUGGCCACAUUGCGCAGCAGAAGAGGCAGCACAGGAGGAGUCACUGCUCUUCAUGGACAGUUCAGUCUUUCUUUCUCAAAGGAAAUUUUCCAAAGAAAAAAUUCACGUGUUUCAAUUUCCUUCCAGGGGUUAAUAACUCCUGCAAUGAAUAAAAUGGAAAGAAUUUUUUAAAUUACAUAUUCCUUUUCCCUGUUUGUUGCCUUCUCUGUCCUGGUCAAGAAAACACCUCAGAAAAUUUUGCUGCUUCUUCUUACUCAUGCUCUCCGAAUUUUCUUUGUAGCUUGUUACCAAUAUCAUGACUUGUGUUAGCCAGUGCCUUUUUUUACCUUGUCUCUUUGAGGAGGAAAUAGCUGAAAAGCCUUUGUAUCUCACAUGUCAAAUAAUUACAUGCCAGCUGAAUCCUCUGAACACUUCCCAUGGGUGAUACUAAAAGAAAUGUGAUGUCUUCACAGCAUCAAGAAUAUUUUCUCACCAGGGAUUGGCCCGCAGGUGUUUCAGUCCAGAGCUAGCCCAUUACAAAACUGCUCAGAAACAUGCAAAGCCAAAUUCUGUUCUGAAUUACAUCCAUCCAGCUUGAGGGGAACUCAAAGGAGCCGUGCAGGUUCUUCACAAGGCAGACGGGGAGGGAGCAGGAACUGGCCCACUGCUGGUACUUGGAAACAUAUCCUGAUGGCUGGGGUCCAGUGGUGUAAUAGCGGUCUCCCAAUUUGAGCAGUUGCAGCAAGCCCUUGAAGGAAAGGAGAGCAGUAGCAGGAGAGAUUGUAUCUUUUGAGAGGCUUUGCUGAGCUGGAGAGUCAUCAAACAGACAGAUUGCAUUCAUGUCUUGCUUCCUUUCCCCUGAGGAUCAGAAACAGUUAAAACCCCCUGUGAUAUAGGUCUGUGUUCACAUUGAAUCUACACCCAUCAUAUAU